UCGAGUUAGCACACAACUUGCAACAAAUGAAAAUGGCAGUCCACGGAUUGGCAAACAGGAAGAAAGGCAUUUUUAGGCAAAUUCGCAAGCUUUGCUAAGACGUCACAAUGUUUACAGAAACAUAAGACUUGUAUGAAAUGCUCGCAGUCAUCCUCAUAGCCCGCUCAAAAAAACAAAACACAAAGAGGCGUCACAUCUCUUCACACCGACUACACCCGCACAUCAAACACAAUAACAGUCGCGCAAUGUGCGCACUCUCGCGGCUUUGGGCGCACGGGGUGUGGGCGAGGCGUUGUGCACACCCGAGUUGAUCCCGUCUGUACAUUUACCGUCGCAGUUUUUUUUACAACGCUCUCGCACACCACCAGCAAGGCAGCUCACGCACGCGUCCUCCCUCUCUCUCGUUUCCUCUCCCCAAGUUCUAGGGUUCCCAGCCACCGCCGCCGCAGCCCACAACCCCUCCCAGUCUCCCUUUCGAUUCACCUCCUCUCCCCUCCCAGGCAGCCCACACACCGCCACCAUCCAUGCUCCUCUAGCGUCGGCCAGUGGAGAAGGAGCGCCCACCCAAGACCUGCUUCUCGCCCAAACCUUCUCGUCUUCGCGGCAAGGUGUGCCAUCCACCCAGCCAUCAUGGUGGUCGCAGAGGAGGGGGGAAGAGGGAUGGCAUGAAGGUGCCGAUGGAGGCCCUGGGUCGGGGCGGGGAAGCUCGUCGGCUGGGUAUCGCGUCUUCCUCGCCCAGCCAAGGGGCUGCGGGUUUGCUGCACAAGCUGUCCCUGGAUCCCAAGGUCGUCGUGGCCGGCCAGGGCAAGGAGACGCAGAAGAAGGUCUUGGCAGCACCCAAUGGCAGUCCGAAUGGCGUGGUGACAUCCUCCAAACCCUUAGGUGGUGUCCGCAACCAUGGGCAGCAGGAUUACAAGAAUGCAAGCAUGUAUGCUAGCACUGAAGCAUACCGUUAGCCACAGGUGCAGUAUAGUAUAGAAAUCAGAAGGAUGGUAUGCUCUAUCCAGCCAUUGUGGGUAUACAAGAAUUGUGGGAUUGUAUUACUGGAAGUAUUAUAUACCCAUGCUUUGCGUAUUGACAAGCUUGCUCUCAAGUCAUGUUCUUCUCAGUUGAUCCUUGAGAAUGACUCCUAAGAAUUGAUAAUUUCCAUGUAAUCGUCAGUCGUUACUUAAACAUGUGUCUUUUCUGUGUUUUGUGCUCUUCUUUAUUGUUUAAAUUUAAUGAUUUAUCUGAUGAUCAAAUAUUGUGUAUGCUAUAUAUGGUUGUGGGCUGAGAUUUGGAAAGGAACAGAAGAACACAUUAAGACGCUCCAAAUGAUUUCUUAUUAAUAAGUUUGUACUUAUCAUGAUUAUGAAUUUAAAAUUAUGUAUUGGCAAUGCGCACACAUAUCGAGCCCUGUAGCUUAGCUCUAUCAUCUGUGUUCACAAGUUUAAGCAUGGUACAAUGGAGUUCAUCAUGUCUGCUUCGGGAAGUACCACAUGUAGCAUUCUAGGAUGCAUUCAUCAUUUCCUUCUCCUGAUAUAUAUUUAAACUACUUACGAGUUCAGAUUUUAUUAUUUAUAUUGUGACGCAAAGAACAUAUGUUAUCAGGUAUUCACGUUUGACUUGAUAUACAAGUUUCAUAAGUUGAGAUUUUCUUAAUAUCUUCUUAAUUUGUAGCUAGGUCAAAUUCCCAUGUUUACUUUUGCAUGUUAUUGCCCUAUUCAGAUUGCUAAAGAACUUCUCUAUAUGUUUUUAUUGCUACAAAAUUUGCCUAAUUAGAUAGAAAAUGAUUACUAUAUUGCAUAAGCCACAUCUUUACUUUGCCAUAUAGCAUUUGUCUUUAAUCUAACUGACAUUCAUAAUGUGGUAAUUAUAGAUAAUGCAAUAUGGAUUAUGCUUAAUACAUUUUCCAUAUCUUUCAGGGAUGUUAUAGCCUGAUAAUGAAAAAAAAUUAGUUCAUUGGAGGUUUCAAUCAUGUAUAUAUAUUAUUUGUUGUCAUUUCCCCCUUUUAAGAGAGAAAGAUCUUUAGCUCAACCAUAUGGCUGCAUUAUUGAGAUAUUUAACUUAUAAUGUAUGCUGCUACAAUUUCCGAAAAAUGUAGUGCAUAUCUUCACUAUUUACACUAUUAUAUAGCUUAUGGUUUUGCAGAUUUUCUCUGCCAUGCGAAGAUCGAAAUAUAAACCCUAAACCAUAAAUAUUCGCACAAAAUUGUUGAUAGUCUGAUAGCAAUGCCUUUUGGGGUUUGCAUCCUGGGGGGAUUUGCAGAUUUUCUUGCGUUUUGAUCUUGGUACUUGAGAUGAUAAAAAAAUUAUAGUUAAAUCAUAAAUAUUUGCACAAAAUUGGUGAUAGUCUGAUAGCAAUGCCUUUUGGGAUUUGCAGGCUGGCGGGAUUAUUCAGUGUAUGUGGGCCUUGACAGAGCAGAGUCACUUAACCAUGGAAAUGUGCUAGCAAUAGUAUGAUGGAGCAUGAUGGAUGGCAGGAAAGAGAAGGGGAGAUCUCGUAGAGUGUUUUGGUGGAUGGCGAUGCAAUGCCUGUGCUCCGGGGAACAAGCCAAUGUGGUUGAUGAUCUCAAUCCAUCAAAUGGCGAAAUCGAGUUGUAUGCCAAAAAUUAUGGUCUUCCGGAAGCCGAGUUAUAUCUCGAGGAGGGUGAUCUGUUAACUAUGAGGUUGGUUCAUCCUGUAACAUAAAUCUUCUCAUGACCAACAACAUUUUUUGUUUCAUCUGGUCAUUGUUUUGAAUUGUCUGUUGUGGUGCCUAUAUCACAUUUUCCUUGUAUGUUCGCUUCAUGCCGAACUAUACUAAUCCAACUGAAGUCCUUGAGCUGUUUCUUGGACUAUUUCCUUAUUUAUGAUUGUCUAUUUUUUCUCUAAA